AAGGGCGAUGAGAGCGCGGAGGAGGCGCUGGUGGCCGAGUUUGGGGCGGGGACUGUCCCCAAUGCUCCGCAGCAAGGUUGGCUGAUUGUGGAGGCUAAAGCAACUCUACCUUGCCAGCUUAUCCACCAUGUGGACUUCUAAUUAAUCUCAGUUGCCGGAAUGCCUCUAAGAUUUCUACGUUAUCUACUGUGAAGAGCAAGUAAUUACUGCAAAUCCUGCCCUUGGGUCAAAACAACCUUGAUGACAUAUUCCUUCUGAAGCACAUAUACUCUUUCCCUAGCUGCCUGCCCUGCAGACUUCAGGCUCCAGCAUCAGACACAGAGACCCAGCGUUAUGGAGACUGUCUAACCAGAUCUCACAAUUGUGGAAGAUCCCAACUCCUACAGAAAUCUCUUAAAAACCACGUGUGGCUGGGCACAGUGGCUCAUGUAUGUAAUUCCAGCACUUUGGGAGGCUGAGGUGAGUGGAUCUCUUGAGCCCAGGAGUUUGAGACCAGCCUGGAGCAACAUGGUGAAACUGUGUCUCUACAAAAGAUACAAAAAUUAGCUGGGCAUGGUGGCAUGCGCCUGUAGUCCCAGCUACUCAGGAGGCUGAGGUGGGAGGGUGACUUGAGCCCAGGAAUUGAAGGCUGUAGUGAGCUGUGAUUGUGCCCCUGCACUCCAGCUGGGGUGACAGAGCGAGACCCUGUCUCAAAAACAACCCCUCCCCCAAAAAAGUCACCUGGAUGAGGCCAGGCGCGGUGGCUCAUGCCUGUAAUCCCAACACUUUGGGAGGCUGAGGCGGGCGGAUCACGAGGUUAGGAAAUCGAGACCAUCAUGGCUAACAUGGUGAAACCCCGUCUCUACUAAAAAUACACAAAAUUAGCCGGGCGUGGUGGCGGGCACCUGUAGUCCCAGCUACUCAGGAGGCUGAGGCAGGAAAAUGGCGUGAACCCGGGAGGCGGAGCUUGCAGUGAGCUGAGAUUGCACCACUGCACUCCAGCCUGGGCGACAGAGCAAGACUCUGUCUCAAAAAAAAAAAAAAAAAAAAAAGUCACCUGGAUGAAGCCUGUGCAGCCAUUUCAGCCAAAGAUGCUACUGGAGAUGAUGCCCAACACAAAGAGAGGGCAGAAAUACCCCAGCUUCCCCUCCUGCCUUCCAGCCUCCCACCAGUGCCUUCCAUUGACUGAGCCCAGCAGGAAGGCUGGAAAGCUCAGUCUGCGUGUUCAUCACCUUGGGAAACGGAGCAGAGCAGGCGGAAGGGUAAGGAGGGGAUCGGAUGUCAUUCAGGCAAAUGACAAGUACACUAAAUAUUCACCCACUCGAUACAUAUUUAUUGAGUGCCGGGAGCCACGCUAAGUGCUGAGGCUACUGCCUUGCUCAAAGCAGACAAAGUCCCGUGGUUGGAGAUUGGAAUUGUUUUAGGAUGCCAGUGAGAAGCCUAAACCGCAGGAAGACACACGGUCUCAACCACAUGCUAUAGCAAUUACUUAUAUAUAACAUUUCCCUAACCAGACAACAUGCUGGCAUUGGCAGAUGUUAAAUGAACCAAACUGAAAUACAAUACACUUCUCAAUUUAACCCCUCUCCAGAAAGAAGCACAUGAAUUUGGCAGCUCCUUUAAAGAUGCUAAUAAGUUUGAAACAUCCUUUCUAUUGCCUCAUGGCUCUAUCACGGGAAGUACUUACAGUUUUGGAGUUACCGUUCAUCUAAAUUCUUUGAUAUAAUUACAUUGCUAGGACACUUUUUUUUUUUUUUUUGAGUUGGAGUCUCGCUCUGUUGCCCAGGCUGGAGUGCAGUGGCACGAUCUCGGCUCACUGCAACCUCUGCCUCCUGAGUUCAAGCGAUUCUCCUGCCUCAGCCUCCCAAGUAGCUGGGACUACAGGCGCCACCAUCACGCCUGGUUAAUUUUUUGUAUUUUUAGUAGAGACAAGGUUUCACUAUGUUGGCCAGGCUGUUCUUGAACUCCUGACCUCAGGUGAUCUGCCCGCUUCAGCCUUCUAAAGUACUGAGAUUACAGGUGUGAGCCAUCAUGCCCGGCGUUUUUUUUUUUUCAGUCUCACUCUGUUGCCCAGGCUGCAGUGCAGUGGCACGAUCUCGGCUCACUACAACCUCCGCCUCCUGGGUUCAAGCAAUUCUCCUGCCUUAGCUUCCCAAGUAGCUGGGAUUACAGGCGCCCACCACCACACCCGGCUAAUUUUUGUAUUUUUAGUAGAGACAGGGUUUCACCAUGUUGGCCAGGCUGGUCUUGAACUCCUGACCUUAAGUGAUCCAUCCGCUUCAUCCUCCCAAAGGCAUGAGCCGUCCUGUCCGGCCAUGAUAUAUUCGUUUUUUGUUUUGUUUUUGUUUUUUUUUUUUGAAACGGAGUUUCACUCUUGUUGCCCAGGCUAGAGUGCAGUGGCACAAUCUCCGCUCACUGCAACCUCCGCCUCCUGGGUUCAAGUGAUUCUCCUGCCUCAACCUCCCAAGUAGCUGGGAUUACAGGAGCCCACCACUAUGCCUGGCUAAUUUUUUUGUAUUUUUAGUAAAAACGGGGUUUUACCAUGUUGGCCAGGCUGGUCUCAAACUCCUGACCUCAGGUGAUCCUCCCGCCUCAGCCUCCCAAAGUGCUGGGAUUACAGGCAUGAGCCACUGCACCCCGCCAUAUUAGUUUUUUUUGUUGUUGUUGUUGUUUUUAAGACACAGGCUCUUGCUAUGUUGUCCAGGCUGGCCUCAAACUCCUGGGCUGAAGCUGUCCUCCUGCCUCAGCCUCCAGAGUGGCUGAGAUGACAAAGAUGCAUGCACCAGGGCACACUUAUCAUGUAAAUUAUUUGGGGUGGAUCAUGCCAGUUCCUAAAUCAAAUAAUUAACUGGUUUUCCUUAAUCUAGAGACAGUAACAAAUAAUGUGGAUCUCAUUCAUCACUCAAGAUGUUAGGCGCUAUGGCUGGGUUCUGUGGCUCACGCCUGUCAUCCCAGUGCUUUGGGAGGCUGAGGUGGGAGGAUGGCUUGAACCCAGGAGGCCAAGGCUGCAGUGAGCCAUGAUGGUGCCACUGCACUACAGCCUGGGCAACAGAGCAAGACCCUGUCUUUCUUUCUUUUCUUUCUUUCUUUUUUUUUUUUUUUUUUUGAGACAGAGUUUUGGUCUGUCACCCAGGCUGGAGUACAGUGGUCUGAUCUUGGCUCACUGCAGCCUCCACCUCGUGGGUUCAAGUGAUUCUGCUGCCUCAGCCUCCCAAGUAGCUGGGACCACAAGCGCGUGCCACCACGCCUGGUUAAUUUUUUUGUUGUAUUUUUUGUAGAGAUGGAGUUACACCAUGUUGGCUGGGCAGAUGUCAAACUCAAGUGACCUCAAGUGAUUUGCCUGCCUUGGCCUCCCAAAGUGCUGGGAUUACAGGCAAGAGCCAUGGCGCCCAGCCAUAUCUCACCUCCUAAAAUAAAACAAAAUCAACCAGGCAGGAUGGCACACACUUGUAGUUCAGCUCCUCAGGAGGCUGCAUUGAAAGGAUUGCUUGAGCUCGGGAGAUCAAGGCUGCUCUGAGCUGUGAUUAUGCCGUGGCACUCUAGACAGGGCAACAGAAAAAAAAAAAAAAAGAAUGUCACAGCAGCGAAAUGAAUGAAUUAUAGUCACAUGUAACAAUGGCUGAGUCUAAUAUGGAGCUAUAAUACCAACUACAGGAAGACAGAUAGACAUGUAUAUAUAUAUGUGUGUGUGUGUGUGUGUGUGUGUAUAAUUUAUAUUAAUAAUUAUGUUCAGCCAGGUGCUGUGGCUCACGCCUAUAAUCUCAGCACUUUGGAAGGCUGAGGCGGGCAGAUCAUCUGAGGUCAGGAGUUCGAGACCAGCCUGGUCAACAUGGUGAAACCCUGUCUCUACUAAAAAUACAAAAAUUGGCGUGGUGGCAUGCGCUUGUAAUUCCAGCUACUCAGGAGGCUGAGGCAGGAGAAUCACUUGAACCCAGGAGGUGGAGGUUGCAGUGAACUGAGAUGGCACCAUUGCACUCCAGCCUAGGCAACAGAGCAAGACUCCAUCUCAAAAAAUAAAUAAAUAAAUAAAUAAAAAUAAUUAUGUUCAUACAUAACUUUAAAAAUAAAAGAUCCAAACCAGGAAAAAUAAAUAUAAGUGGUAAAACUACAAAGAAAAGCAACUAAAUUACCAGAAAAGCAAGGCUGUGGUUACGUCUGGGGGAAAGAAGGAGGCCAAGGCUGAGAGUCUGCAUGUUCCAGGAUUCUGGGCUCUGGCAGUGAUUAAUUUCAUGACCUGGGUGGUAUGUACCUAGGUGUUCAGCUUACUAUUACUUGACAAACUGUACAUAAUGGUUUUUGUGCUUUCCUCUAUGCUUAUUUCGUGAGAAAAUAUAAAUGUAAAAAAAAGCUGACAAAAGCAAGUCUCAGCACAUUGUUGUUUUAAAUGUAAUAGAUUAGUAUACAAUUUAUUUACAAGAUGAACAGUACACAACAUAAUGAGAUAUAAAAGAACAUAAAUUGAACUAGAAUGAUAUACCCCAAGUUCACAAUAGUGGUUGCUUCUGGAGAGUGAGAAAGUGGGGAUUAAUGUAUAAUUAUAUGCCAGGUGCAGUAGCUCACACCUGUAAUCCCAGCACUUUGGGAGGCCAAGACAGGAGGAUCGCUUUGAGACCAGCCUGGUCAACAUACUGAGACUGCCAUCUCUACAGAAAAUGUAAAAAAUUAGCCGGGUGUGGUGGCAUGCACUUGUAGUCCCAGCUACUCGAGAAGUUGAGGUAAAAGGAUCACUUGAGCCUGGGAGGUCAAGGAUACAGUGAACUGAGAUCACAUCACCGUGCUCUAGCCUGGGCGACAGAGACAGACCUUGUCUCAAAUAAAUAAAUAAAUUAAAUAUUUUUUAAAAGGCCAGGCCUGGUGGCUCACGCCUGUAAUUCCCAGCACUUUGGGAGACCGAGGUGGGCAGAUCACGAGGUCAAUAGAUCGAGACCAUCCUGGCCAAAAUGGUGAAACCCCAUCUCUACUAAAGAUACAAAAAUUAGCUGGGCAUGGUGGCUUACACCUGUAGUCCCAGCUAUUCAGGAGGCUGAGGCACAAGAAUCACUUGAACCUGGGAGGCGGAGGUUGCAGUGAGCCGAGAUCGUGCCACUGCACUCCAGCCUGGGUGACAGAGUGAGAUUCUGUCUCAAAAAAAGAAAAAAAGAGGCCAGGUGCGGUGGCUCAUGCCUGUAAUCCCAGCACUUUGGGAGGCCGAGGCGGGUGGAUCAUGCGGUCAGGAGAUCGAGACCAUCCUGGCUGACAUGGCGAAACCCCAUCUCUACUAAAAAUAUAAAAAAUUAGCCAGGCGUGGUGGUGGGCGCCUGUAGUCCCAGCUACUUGGGAGGCUGAGGCAGGAGAAUGGUGCGAACCUGGGAGGCGGAGCUUGCAGUGA
rnacentral:lncRNA from 10 species